rnacentral:rRNA from 2 species
CCGCUCGCCGGAAGACCAAGGGUUCCUGUCCAACGUUAAUCGGGGCAGGGUGAGUCGACCCCUAAGGCGAGGCCGAAAGGCGUAGUCGAUGGGAAACGGGUUAAUAUUCCCGUACUUGGUGUUACUGCGAAGGGGGGACGGAGAAGGCUAUGUUGGCCGGGCGACGGUUGUCCCGGUUUAAGCGUGUAGGUGUGUGUUCCAGGUAAAUCCGGUUCACUUUAACACUGAGGCGUGACGACGAGGCACUACGGUGCUGAAGCAACAAAUGCCCUGCUUCCAGGAAAAGCCUCUAAGCAUCAGGUAACAUCAAAUCGUACCCCAAACCGACACAGGUGGUCAGGUAGAGAAUACCAAGGCGCUUGAGAGAACUCGGGUGAAGGAACUAGGCAAAAUGGUGCCGUAACUUCGGGAGAAGGCACGCUGACACGUAGGUGAAGUGAUUUACUCAUGGAGCUGAAGUCAGUCGAAGAUACCAGCUGGCUGCAACUGUUUAUUAAAAACACAGCACUGUGCAAACACGAAAGUGGACGUAUACGGUGUGACGCCUGCCCGGUGCCGGAAGGUUAAUUGAUGGGGUCAGCGCAAGCGAAGCUCCUGAUCGAAGCCCCGGUAAACGGCGGCCGUAACUAUAACGGUCCUAAGGUAGCGAAAUUCCUUGUCGGGUAAGUUCCGACCUGCACGAAUGGCGUAAUGAUGGCCAGGCUGUCUCCACCCGAGACUCAGUGAAAUUGAACUCGCUGUGAAGAUGCAGUGUACCCGCGGCAAGACGGAAAGACCCCGUGAACCUUUACUAUAGCUUGACACUGAACAUUGAGCCUUGAUGUGUAGGAUAGGUGGGAGGCUUUGAAGUGUGGACGCCAGUCUGCAUGGAGCCGACCUUGAAAUACCACCCUUUAAUGUUUGAUGUUCUAACGUGGACCCGUUACCCGGGUUGCGGACAGUGUCUGGUGGGUAGUUUGACUGGGGCGGUCUCCUCCUAAAGAGUAACGGAGGAGCACGAAGGUUGGCUAAUCCUGGUCGGACAUCAGGAGGUUAGUGCAAUGGCAUAAGCCAGCUUGACUGCGAGCGUGACGGCGCGAGCAGGUGCGAAAGCAGGUCAUAGUGAUCCGGUGGUUCUGAAUGGAAGGGCCAUCGCUCAACGGAUAAAAGGUACUCCGGGGAUAACAGGCUGAUACCGCCCAAGAGUUCAUAUCGACGGCGGUGUUUGGCACCUCGAUGUCGGCUCAUCACAUCCUGGGGCUGAAGUAGGUCCCAAGGGUAUGGCUGUUCGCCAUUUAAAGUGGUACGCGAGCUGGGUUUAGAACGUCGUGAGACAGUUCGGUCCCUAUCUGCCGUGGGCGCUGGAGAACUGAGGGGGGCUGCUCCUAGUACGAGAGGACCGGAGUGGACGCAUCACUGGUGUUCGGGUUGUCAUGCCAAUGGCACUGCCCGGUAGCUAAAUGCGGAAGAGAUAAGUGCUGAAAGCAUCUAAGCACGAAACUUGCCCCGA